GCGGGUGUAACAGAAGCACUUCAAAACUCUUAUUACGUGUGCGGUAAGGGCGGUCCAAAGGACAAAAUGGUACACUUGGUGUAACAUUUUUUGUUGUA